UACGUAGGGUGCAAGCGUUAAUCGGAAUUACUGGGCGUAAAGCGUGCGCAGGCGGUGAUGUAAGACAGGUGUGAAAUCCCCGGGCUUAACCUGGGAACUGCAUUUGUGACUGCAUCGCUGGAGUGCGGCAGAGGGGGAUGGAAUUCCGCGUGUAGCAGUGAAAUGCGUAGAUAUGCGGAGGAGCACCGAUGGCGAAGGCAAUCCCCUGGGCCUGUACUGACGCUCAUGCACGAAAGCGUGGGGAGCAAACAGG
rnacentral:rRNA from 1 species